GACAGAGGAUGCAAGCGUUAUCCGGAAUGAUUGGGCGUAAAGAGCUCGUAGGCGGUUUGUCGCGUCGGCUGUGAAAGCCCGGAGCUCAACUCCGGGUCUGCAGUCGAUACGGGGCAGACUUGAGUGUUGCAGGGGAGACUGGAAUUCCUGGUGUAGCGGUGAAAUGCGCAGAUAUCAGGAGGAACACCGGUGGCGAAGGCGGGACUCUGG
rnacentral:rRNA from 1 species